UACGUAGGGGGCAAGCGUUAUCCGGAUUUACUGGGUGUAAAGGGGGCGCAGACGGCGAUGCAAGCCAGGAGUGAAAGCCCGGGGCCCAACCCCGGGACUGCUCUUGGAACUGCGUGGCUGGAGUGCAGGAGGGGCAGGCGGAAUUCCUGGUGUAGCGGUGAAAUGCGUAGAUAUCAGGAGGAACACCGGUGGCGAAGGCGGCCUGCUGGACUGCAACUGACGUUGAGGCCCGAAAGCGUGGGGAGCAAAUAGG
rnacentral:rRNA from 1 species